rnacentral:rRNA from 1 species
GACGAACGCUGGCGGCGUGCUUAACACAUGCAAGUCGAACGAUGAAGCUAGAGCUUGCUCUGGUGGAUUAGUGGCGAACGGGUGAGUAACACGUGAGUAACCUGCCCCGAACUCUGGGAUAACUGCUGGAAACGGUAGCUAAUACUGGAUACGACCAACGAAGGCAUCUUCUGUUGGUGGAAAGAAUUUCGGUUCGGGAUGGACUCGCGGCCUAUCAGCGUGUUGGUGAGGUAACGGCUCACCAAGGCGACGACGGGUAGCCGGCCUGAGAGGGUGAUCGGCCACACUGGGACUGAGACACGGCCCAGACUCCUACGGGAGGCAGCAGUGGGGAAUAUUGCACAAUGGGCGCAAGCCUGAUGCAGCAACGCCGCGUGAGGGACGACGGCCUUCGGGUUGUAAACCUCUUUUAGUAGGGAAGAAGCGAAAGUAACGGUACCUGCAGAAAAAGCACCGGCUAACUACGUGCCAGCCGCCGCGGUAA